GAUGAACGCUGGCGGCGUGCCUAAUACAUGCACGUCGAACGAGGUGCUUUUGUAGCAAUACGAGAGUAUCCUAGUGGCGAACGGGUGAGUAACGCGUUGGUGACCUCCCCCAACGUGUGGGUUAACAGUCCGAAAGGAUUGCUAAUACCGCAUGUGGUCAUUGGAUUUAGAAACUGAUGACUAAAGGAGCAAUUCGCUUUGGGAGGGACCUGCGUCCCAUCAGCUAGUUGGUGAGGUAAUGGCUCACCAAGGCGACGACGGGUAGGGGACCUGAGAGGGUGACCCCCCACAAUGGAACUGAAACACGGUCCAUACACCUACGGGUGGCAGCAGUAGGGAAUAUUGCUCAAUGGGCGAAAGCCUGAAGCAGCAACGCCGCGUGUGUGAUGAAGGCCUUCGGGUCGUAAAGCACUUUUCUGGGAGAUGAGAAAGGACAGUAUCCCAGGAAUAAGUCUCGGCUAACUACGUGCCAGCCGCCGCAGUAAAAC
rnacentral:rRNA from 1 species